AGCGGCGGACGGGUGAGUAACGCGUGGGAACGUGCCCUAUGGUGCGGAACAACUGAGGGAAACUUCAGCUAAUACCGCAUGAGCGCUACGGCGGAAAGAUUUAUCGCCAUAGGAGCGGCCCGCGUUGGAUUAGCUAGUUGGUGGGGUAAUGGCUCACCAAGGCUACGAUCCAUAGCUGGUCUGAGAGGAUGAUCAGCCACACUGGGACUGAGACACGGCCCAGACCCCUACGGGAGGCAGCAGUAGGGAAUCUUGCGCAAUGGGCGAAAGCCUGACGCAGCCAUGCCGCGUGAAUGAUGAAGGUCUUAGGAUUGUAAAAUUCUUUCACCGGGGACGAUAAUGACGGUACCCGGAGAAGAAGCUCCGGCUAACUUCGUGCCAGCAGCCGCGGUAAUACGAAGGGGGCUAGCGUUGCUCGGAAUUACUGGGCGUAAAGGGCGCGUAGGCGGACAGUUUAGUCAGAGGUGAAAGCCCAGGGCUCAACCUUGGAAUAGCCUUUGAUACUGGCUGUCUUGAGUGCGGGAGAGGUGUGUGGAACUCCGAGUGUAGAGGUGAAAUUCGUAGAUAUUCGGAAGAACACCAGUGGCGAAGGCGACACACUGGCCCGUUACUGACGCUGAGGCGCGAAAGCGUGGGGAGCAAACAGGAUUAGAUACCCUGGUAGUCCACGCUGUAAACGAUGAGUGCUAGUUGUCGGCA
rnacentral:rRNA from 1 species